rnacentral:rRNA from 1 species
CGUAGCGAAAGCUACGCUAAUACCGCAUACGAUCUAUGGAUGAAAGCGGGGGAUCGCAAGACCUCGCGCGAUUGGAGCGGCGAUAUCAGAUUAGGUAGUUGGUGAGGUAAAGGCUCACCAAGCCGACGAUCUGUAGCUGGGUCUGAGAGGACGACCAGCCACACUGGGACUGAGACACGGCCCAGACUCCUACGGGAGGCAGCAGUGGGGAAUUUUGGACAAUGGGCGCAAGCCUGAUCCAGCAAUGCCGCGUGCAGGAUGAAGGCCUUCGGGUUGUAAACUGCUUUUGUACGGAACGAAACGGUGAGCUCUAAUACAGUUUGCUAAUGACGGUACCGUAAGAAUAAGCACCGGCUAACUACGUG